CACGUAGGGGGCGAGCGUUGUCCGGAAUUACUGGGCGUAAAGGGUGCGUAGGCGGCCUGAUAAGUCAAGUGUGAAAUACCCGGGCUCAACCUGGGUGGUGCACGUGAAACUGUCGGGCUUGAGUGCAGGAGAGGGAAGUGGAAUUCCUAGUGUAGCGGUGAAAUGCGUAGAUAUUAGGAGGAACACCAGUGGCGAAGGCGGCUUCCUGGACUGUAACUGACGCUGAGGCACGAAAGCGUGGGGAGCAAACAGG
rnacentral:rRNA from 1 species